CUAGAAUCGCCGUAAUGAUUAAUAGGGAUAGUUGGGGGCAUUCGUAUUCAAUUGCUAGAGGUGAAAUUCUUGGAUUUAUUGAAGACGAACUACUGCGAAAGCAUUUGCCAAGGAUGUUUUCAUUGAUCAAGAACGAAGGUUAGGGGAUCGAAAACGAUCAGAUACCGUUGUAGUCUUAACAGUAAACGAUGCCGACUAGGGAUCGGACGAGGAUUUUUAAUGACUCGUUCGGCACCUGAAGAGAAAUCUUUAAGUCUAGGUUCGGGGGGGAGUAUGGUCGCAAGGCUGAAACUUAAAGGAAUUGACGGAAGGGCACCACCAGGUGUGGAGCCUGCGGCUUAAUUUGACUCAACACGGGGAAACUCACCAGGUCCAGACACGACAAGGAUUGACAGAUUGAUAGCUCUUUCUUGAUUUCGUGGUUGGUGGUGCAUGGCCGUUCUUAGUUGGUGGAGUGAUUUGUCUGGUUAAUUCCGAUAACGAACGAGACCUUAACCUGCUAAAUAGCCCGGCCGACUUUGGUUGGUCGCUGGCUUCUUAGAGGGACUAUCAGCGUUUAGCUGAUGGAAGUUUGAGGCAAUAACAGGUCUGUGAUGCCCUUAGAUGUUCUGGGCCGCACGCGCGCUACACUGACCGAACCAGCGAGUUUAUCACCUUGGCCGGAAGGCCUGGGUAAUCUUGUGAAACUCGGUCGUGAUGGGGAUAGAGCAUUGC
rnacentral:rRNA from 1 species